UUGAGGAAUCAAUCUCUACAAUAACUUGUAGAGUUAUAUAAAAAUUAUAAACUUAGCAGGAUACCUGUCCAUGAGUACAUUGCAUUUGCCAUUGUGGUACAUAGGAAACAUUACCCAACCCUGGAAUAAAAUUAGCCUGUGUAUAAAUGCUUGCUCCAUCACCUGCCUGCAUGAUUCUGGAACCUGGAAACCCCUCCUUCCACAAAAUAGAAUGAGUGUUCCAAAGAGUUGAACAGAGAAGAUUGGUUUUAAAGAACUGAGGAGAGCAGUUAAAAAAUUUAAAAAGUGAAUUGGGUAUUUCCAAAGUUACUUUCCUUGUAAAGGUUAAAGCAAAGGGGACACUUCCUCAAUAGCUACAACUGGCCUGCUCAGGUUUUUGGCUAUUAUCACUCUGUCUCCUCAUUCUUUGGCAGGUCCAUGCAGUUAUGAAUUAUACAUCCAGUUAUGAAGCAGUCACUGUCCAAAUUCUCAGAGCUGAAAGUGCUAAAGAUAACUACAUGCAAGAUAAUAUGGAAGAAACUGAUUCAGUUUGACUGCCACAAAUGUUUGUUUCAAGGAAGUAACUCUAUGCUGAGACUUGAAAAAUUAGGAAGAACUUUAGUCCCUGGAAGGAUUGGGAGGAAAUGGAAUUCUAACCAGGAGGGAUAGCACAUGUUCUCCUGAUAGGGCAAGGGAGUGGUACCAAAAUAUCAAAAG